rnacentral:rRNA from 1 species
UACGUAGGGGGCUAGCGUUGUCCGGAAUCAUUGGGCGUAAAGCGCGUGUAGGCGGUCCGGUAAGUCCGCUGUGAAAGUCGGGGGCUCAACCCUCGGAUGCCGGUGGAUACUGUCGGGCUUGAGUACGGAAGAGGCGAGUGGAAUUCCUGGUGUAGCGGUGAAAUGCACAGAUAUCAGGAGGAACACCAAUUGCGAAGGCAGCUCGCUGGGACGUUACUGACGCUGAGACGCGAAAGCGUGGGGAGCAAACAGG